CAGUUGGCCUUUAAUUGGGGUCGGGUAUGAAGGGAGAAAUCUAAGUAAAACUGUCUCAAUAUAAUACUAAGGUGAAUUUACUUAUUGGGUGAAAAUUCCCAAACUAAAAACAAAAGACGAGAAGACCCUUAGACUUUUUCCUAAAUAUAAAAUAAUUUGUAUCAGGAUUUGUUGGGGCGACAGAAUGUCAAUUAAAAACACAUUCAUAAAAUUUUUGAAUUAAACAAGUUUUAUUUCUUAUAAAGGAAGUACCUAAGGGAUAACAGCAUUAUUAAAUAAUUACAUUG
rnacentral:rRNA from 1 species